CAGCAGCCGCGGUAAUACGUAGGGUCCGAGCGUUGUCCGGAAUUAUUGGGCGUAAAGGGCUCGUAGGCGGUUUGUCGCGUCGGGAGUGAAAACCAGCAGCUUAACUGCUGGCCUGCUUUCGAUACGGGCAGACUUGAGGCAUUCAGGGGAGAACGGAAUUCCUGGUGUAGCGGUGAAAUGCGCAGAUAUCAGGAGGAACACCGGUGGCGAAGGCGGUCAUCUGGGCUACAACUGACGCUGAUGCACGAAAGCGUGGGGAGCAAACAGGAUUAGAUACCCCAGUAGUCCCUGUCUCUUAUAC
rnacentral:rRNA from 1 species